GGAGUAAUGGAUUAUUCUUAUCCUGCUAAGUUAAAGAAUCUGCAGUUUAACUCUGUGGUACUCUU
rnacentral:tRNA from 1 species